rnacentral:misc_RNA from 1 species
GAUGAAGAACGCAGCGAAAUGCGAUACGUAAUGUGAAUUGCAGAAUUCAGUGAGUCAUCGAAUCUUUGAACGCACAUUGCGCCCUGUGGUAUUCCGCAGGGCAUGCCUGUUCGAGCGUCAUUUCAACCCUCAAGCCCCGCUUGGUGUUGGGCCCCGCCCGCCGUGGCCGGCCCUAAAGACAGUGGCGGCGCCGCCUGGCCCUCAGCGUAGUACAGCUCUCGCUCCAGGGUCCGGCGGCCGCCUGCCAGAACCCCCCCAACUCUGUGGUUGACCUCGGAUCAGGUAGGGAUACCCGCUGAACUUAAGCAUAUCAAUAAGCGGAGGA